GCUUUUACCCUAGUAAACAGCAAUUAAAACUAAAUCAAUUUUUUUUUAAACUGUUGAAAAUCCAACAGUUAAGAUCCUCAUUUCAAGUCUCUGAGGUCUUGACAUUUUCAGGUGUUCAGCUAUUCCUCUGCCAGCAUUUCACAACAGGGCUGGGAGGUUUGCUCUGCUCUUGGAGACAGCACCUUCCUACCAAGGCCCUGCUCUGCUAUGAAAGAUACUAUAGAAAUCGGUGAUAACUCCUUCGACAAAUGUGUUGUUUCAGCGAUGACAGUCACAGAAAAAUGCUGUAUUUUAACUUACAGCUGGCAUUAGAUGUCUACCCUCCUAAGAGAGUUACCUCCAGUGACUACGAGCAGGACAAAGGGGGCACACCGAAAGUCACUACUACGAAUAGUCUGUGCUUUCAAUGGAAGAUGAACCGGCAGCAGCAGGACAUCAGUGAACUUUACUAAGAUCUCAUGCUUUUCAUAAAAUGGUAGGGGAAAAAAAAGUCAAGCAACUAAAAUAAAAUAAAAUAAAAUAA